CUUCAUCAUCCUUAUUCAAUCUCUUCAUCUUCAUUUUGCAAACAACACAUAAUUAUGAUGUAAAAGAAUAUCCCUAAAGACAUAGCGGCACCAUUCUCUACCAAGGUGUGCCUCCUUUAGUUACAUAUUUGGUUACCUGGCCUUGUUGCUGUGAAGUAAUUGGUGGUGCCCAAGAUAUAUUUCCACCUUGCAAUUUGGUCUUCUUUUAUUAUGAUAUUUGUCUUUUAUUGAUCAUAUUUGUCUGCUUCUGGUGCAUAAUGUUUGCUUAGCUUAACAUCAAUCAAGUGCCAAGUAAGGUUACCUUCAAUGUUUUGGAAUGGCUUAAGACCUCUGUUGUUAAAUAGUAAGGCCCAAUUUCUUUCUGUCUUGAUUUUAUGUUUGGGUUAUGUACCAUAUCCUUAGAUGUUCAAUUUUGUUUUUUGUUUUUCAUUUCCCUUUUUUUGUUGCUUUGGUGAAGGCAUAUUAAUAUUGGAAUGUACUAGAAUCUAUGAUGGUUUUUAUAACAUAUAUUUGCUAUGUAUGCUGAAUCCGUGUAUUAUAACUUUUUGACCGAAAAACGAAAAUCUUGAGUUCAAUUUGAAUGAAGAUUCAAGAUGAUAUUGAGGUUUCCCUAAAUAAAUUAUUUUUAAAAAAAAGAGAUGAUAUUAAGGUUAUAUAUAAAAGCUGGGUGAGCUGUAAAUCAACUUGAAGGAAUAGACUUAAAUAAGAUUCUUAUUAUUUCCAAUCUUUAGGUUUGAUAUAUGAAUAUGGAGGGAAGGUAUAGAGAAUCACUGUAUUAUGUCUGUAAGAACCAAGUACAAGAACUCUGGGCCUUAGAUCCCUUGGGCUCACAAUUUAUUUGUAGUGGGUUUAUGGAUUUCCUACAAUGGGUCGUUCUCGGCAGAGAGACUCAAAGCAACAUUCAGUUGAAAAGCUCUCUCCUUGACUA